UGUAAGCGUAUACCAAAGGUGUUGCAGUUAAAACGCUCGUAGUCGGACUUUGGCAGUUCCGGAUGUGUGCACGUCGUGUGCGCACUUCGCGGGGAUUGCUUUUGUGGUCUUGCGUAGGAUGAGGCACUUUUAUUAGUGAACGUCCUCACGCAACCACUUUUUACUGUGAGAAAAUCAGAGUGCUCAAAGCAGGCAUUUGCCGUGAAUGUAUUAGCAUGGAAUAAUAGAAUAGGACUUGGUUCUAUUUUGUUGGUUUGUUGGGACUGAGUAAUGAUUAAGAGGGACAGUUGGGGGCAUUUGUAUUUCGGUGCUAGAGGUGAAAUUCUUAGAUUACCGAAAGACAAACUGCUGCGAAAGCGUCUGCCAAGGAUGUUUUCAUUGA
rnacentral:rRNA from 1 species